GAUGAAGAACGCAGCGAAAUGCGAUAAGUAAUGUGAAUUGCAGAAUUCAGUGAAUCAUCGAAUCUUUGAACGCGCAUUGCGCCCCUCGGUAUUCCGAGGGGCAUGCCUGUUCGAGCGUCAUUAUAACCCUUCAAGCUCAGCUUGGUGUUGGGGCCUGCUGUAACUGGUAGCCCUUAAAAUCAGUGGCAGUGCUAUUAGGCUCUAAGCGUAGUAAUUCUUCUCGCUAUAGUGUGUAGUGAGCGCUUGCCAGAACCCCAAACUUUUAUAUGAUUGACCUCGGAUCAGGUAGGGAUACCCGCUGAACUUAAGCAUAUCAAUAAGCGGAGGC
rnacentral:misc_RNA from 1 species